GAUGAACGCUGGCGGCGUGCCUAAUACAUGCAAGUCGAGCGAACAGACGAGGAGCUUGCUCCUCUGACGUUAGCGGCGGACGGGUGAGUAACACGUGGAUAACCUACCUAUAAGACUGGGAUAACUUCGGGAAACCGGAGCUAAUACCGGAUAAUACAUUGAACCGCAUGGUUCAAUAGUGAAAGACGGUUUUGCUGUCACUUAUAGAUGGAUCCGCGCCGCAUUAGCUAGUUGGUAAGGUAACGGCUUACCAAGGCAACGAUGCGUAGCCGACCUGAGAGGGGGAUCGGCCACACUGGAACUGAGACACGGUCCAGACUCCUACGGGAGGCAGCAGUAGGGAAUCUUCCGCAAUGGGCGAAAGCUUGACGGAGCAACGCCGCGUGAGUGAUGAAGGUCUUCGGAUCGUAAAACUCUGUUAUUAGGGAAGAACAAAUGUGUAAGUAACUAUGCACGUCUUGACGGUACCUAAUCAGAAAGCCACGGCUAACUACGUG
rnacentral:rRNA from 1 species